AACAGUGCUGCCAAGAGAGAAAACUGUUUUUACAAUGUCACUAAUGAAAGCUAAGAUCUUUGAAAUACAUAAGUUUCUAUACACUAGCUACCCCACUGUGUGGUGCUUAUGCUUAAAUCGUGAAGCCCUAUAUCCAGUGAAAAACCUCAGUCCUCAGCAAACCAAGAUAGAGUCUCACUGUGAUUCUGUCCCUGAGCACUGUAGAAUAAGGAAGGAUCAUUUCCAGAAGCUAGAAGCAGCACUAUUACCCAAGAAAGCUUCAGAAUCGUCCAAGUGGAUGCCAAAGAUCAUCAUAUCACACUAACCUUUAAAAUCAAGUUGUCUGCAGACAAAAGGACAUUUUCCUCCAGUUGUCUAAGUUAUAGGGAGUUUUGUUUGUAGCCCUGCUAAACUUACACAGAAAAGAAAAGGAAACAGUCAGAAUUAUGGGACUGUGUAUGAAAAAAAAAAAAAAAAAAAAACAACGAUGCCCAAAGUGAGGGACUAUAAGUCGCCGUAAUCCCUAGCAAAGUUACCUGGUAUUUUUAAUCAAUCAUCAAACAUUCAAAUGCCUUAUGGGUAUUUAUUUAAUACUGUACUAGAUGCUUGCCUUAAAAUAAACAAAC
rnacentral:lncRNA from 1 species